GAUUCGAGUGAAAGUUCUGAUGAAUGGGUUGGAGGUGAUCGUUUGAUGAAGUAUACUGAAAAGAACAUUGUGAAGCAGCAACCUCUUGACGAAAAACAGGGUGUUGGCACGAACCUGAAGCCUGGUGUCUCAACUCAAACUCAACCUGAAGUAUCAAAUGGAGCAAAAGGAAAGAAGAAAAUGGGUGAUUCGAGUAUGGAGG